AAAACCACACAAAAUAAGUUCUCCUCAAAAAUUAAAACCUGCCACUGCUAUAUCCUGGUUCUAUGAAAGUGCAGAUAAUUUUAUGACUGCUGGAAUAUAUACUCUAAAAAUAAUCAACGCAGUGCAAAAACAUCUCAUGUACCCACAAGAAACAGAGACAGCUCAAAAAAACCUAAUAAGGCAAACAACAGGUCAUGAGUGUAUAAAUCAAAGCUUUGAUAGC